ACAGAGAAGCUUCUGGAAUGCCCACGUCAGACCUGACACGACUAUUACAACAGGGAUCCCGCCCAGGCAUCUCUUUGUGUGUGUCCUCUCGGAGCAGUGGGCCAAGAACGCUGUCAUCGGCAGAAUUGCCACCUAAGAACAUUCAGUAAGAGACUGACAGAGAUAAGGGCCCAGUUGCAUCCUUGUGUGAACGAGAUAACGGGGGUCUUCAGCACAAAGCAUGAGGAAAACCAGCUCAAGCCGUUGGAGCCUUGGCCAAACCCAGUGUACUAGGCCAAAGAUAAGUGCACGACAAGAUAGACUGCAGCCUUCAUCCAAAAGCCCCCGCCCGUGACCACCCGAAGACACUGUGCAGGCGCAACAGGAAAGAGCCAAUGCUGAAGACUAUAGAUAUAAUUCACUGGAACUAAUUUUAAUAAGGAUGGCCUUUUCAAGGAAAAAGUUAUGAAUAUGUAUAGGUGUUCCUGGAAUAACCAUGAAUAUGCAAUCCUAUACCACAUUUAACCAGGCUUGCGGCUACUGAAAACAUGCACCGUGGUGGAGCAGGAGACUCCCCGGUCGCCCAGCGCUGUUUUGCCCACUUGCCGCUUGCUGCAAUAAAUUCUAAGCAAUUUAUUUCGAUGAGUGAGUGCUAUUUAUCGUGAUCGUCUAUAACACUGUGCAUCUCCAUUGCUAUUAUUUGCUGCACCCCAAUGAUUUCCUCAACUUAUAUUAAAACCUGUAUUUAUGUUACUGGAGUGCUAACCGAUUGCAUAAAUCCCGUUCCUUACUGGUUAAUUUGCUGCACAUUUUUUACCAGAAUAAAAGUUUGUUUUGAUCCUUGUUGUCCACCUAAAACUAAUUUCGGGGUGCCUCUGUGACACAUGCCUUUCAUAAACCCAUGUUGACUGGGCCUGAUUGCAUGGUUUUCUUGUAUGUGCCGUGUGAUGUCACUCAGGAUGAUCUGCUCCAUGACCUUCCGUGGCAGUGAGGUUAGACUGACAUGUCUGUAGUUCCCCAAAUCCUCCUUCUGGUCCUUCUUGUAGAUGGUUUGGAUAGAUUCUUGGAUACAUGGAAUCCUCUGGCCUUGAAAAUGGAGCUUUCUCAGAGCCUAAAUCACUGUUUGUUCCCUGUGCCUAUUUUUGGGGCCUAUUUUCAGAGUCUUUUAGGCUGAUUGGGUUAAUUCUUUCCUUCUUGCAUAGAAAGGAUCAAUUUUCACUUCAGUUACCAAAGCUGAUUGUGUCUGUGUUCCCAGGACUUCCUGCUGAUAAACAAAGGAAUGCAACAAGUGUGAAAUGGGGUUGUCAAGUGAGAUUGAACCCAGCGGUGGUGCAUUUCAAUCAAGGCUUCAAUCUAAGUGUCAUGACUAUUAAAUUCCUGUUGCUGUCUUUAACAUGAGUACAUCUUUUGUCAGAGUACUUUCAAAAGUCAACAAAGCAAACAUUAGUCCAGAUUUAUUCUGCUGUUUUUUUUAAAAAAAAUCACAUAGUUUGCUGUCUUUAUCAUGAGUACAUCUUUUGUCAGAGUACUUUUAAAAGUCAACAUAGCAAACAUUGUUCCUGAUUUAUUCUGAUGCACUUUUUAUAAAAAUCACACAGUUUGUUCCAAAGAAAAGUAAAGCUAGUUACUUAAUUUGAAUGGAUUUUUUUCAUUUUCUGAAAGGUUAUACUUUUCCAGAUCUUGCAAUGAAUUUUUUACUUGUUUUAUCCCUUUCUGCUUUCACAUAGUAGUAUGAGACAUUGUGUUCCAUAUGACCAAAGUAUUUAUCCUAAAUAAACAAAAUAAUAAAGUAAAUAAGUAAAUAAAGUAAAACAAUAAAGUAAAAUAAUAAAGUAAAUAAAGUAAAGUAAAUAAAGUAAUAUUUCUGGUAAUUCACAUCACAUGUUCAGUUACUUUUCUGUUAUUCUAUUUUUUUCAUGUACUUAGCUUGAUGCCAUGUUCUUCCUAAAUACCGCAACUUUUAGAUUUUGACACAUUUGCUUGUAGUCUAGAUGCUGCCUUUCACCUUUGAUUGAUUAGAGUAAAUUGAUUUCUUCUAUAGUAAAUUGAAGCUUGACUACUUUAGAGUUUAUUUAUUGUGUUUCCUCAACUCUGCCUCCUGCAAGGAGUGGUCAAGAAAGUUUUUUAGUCUGAUGGGUGAUUUUAAUAGCCGUUUCUUGCAUUUUAAUCUAUGUUAUAUAGUGUAAUACCCAGGAAAGGUUUUGAAGUUUUUAGUACCACUGAGAGAACAACCUAAUUUUUGUGAAAUGGAGAAUGUCUGUUUAUUACAGUAAAUGGAGUUAUGAAUUCAUCAGUGAAUUCUUAACCUUUUAUUUGAAAGGCCUUCUGAAAAAAAGCUAAUCAAAUAAAGUUCUGUAUAUCCUUA